GGUGCCAAUGAUGUGUCUAUUCGCGACCAAAGUCUGACUUUUGCUGAUUAGCCUUAACUAACUGACUGCACC